AUUGAACGCUGGCGGCAUGCCUAACACAUGCAAGUCGAACGAGUGGCGGACGUGUCAGGAAUGUCUGCUAAACUGCCUGAUGGAGUGGGAUAACUACUGGAAACGGUAGCUAAUACCGCAUACCAUCAGAUGUGCCCAGAUGGGGUUGGCUUGUUGGUGGGGUAACGGCUCACCAGGGCGACGAUCCCUAGCUGGUCUGAGAGGCUGACCAGCCACAUUGGAACUGAGACACGGUCCAGACUCCUACGGGAGGCAGCAGUGGGGAAUAUUGGACAAUGGGGGCAAGCCUGAUGCAGCCAUGCCGCGUGUAUGAAGAAGGCCUUCGGGUUGUAAAGUACUUUCAGCGGGGAGGCGUUACCCGCAGAAGAAGCACCGGCUAACUACGUGCCAGCAGCCGCGGUAAUUC
rnacentral:rRNA from 1 species